rnacentral:rRNA from 1 species
UACGUAGGGGCCAAGCGUUGUCCGGAUUUAUUGGGCGUAAAGAGCUCGUAGGUGGUUCGGCAAGUCAGUUAUGAAAUCUCCGCGCUCAACGCGGAGGGGUCAGCUGAAACUGCUGUGACUUGAGUCUGGUAGGGGAGUGUGGAAUUCCCGGUGUAGCGGUGAAAUGCGCAGAUAUCUGGAGGAACACCGGUGGCGAAGGCGGCGUUCUGGACUGCAACUGACGCUGAGGAACGAAAGCCAGGGGAGCAAACGGG